GCAUGGCUGAAUACUGUGUUCUUUUAUUGGUAGAUUACACAGCCAGACACCAUGCAAAAGCAGUCUUCCCUUUUAAAUGACUGAUAUGCUAAGUUAUUUCAUAGCAUAUCAUUUUGUUAAAGGUGAACACAAAU
ensembl:snoRNA